rnacentral:rRNA from 1 species
AUUGAACGCUGGCGGCAGGCCUAACACAUGCAAGUCGAACGAGUGGCGGACGGGUGAGUAAUGUCUGGGAAACUGCCUGAUGGAGGGGGCUAACUACUGGAAACGGUAGCUAAUACCGCAUACCAUCAGAUGUGCCCAGUUGGGAUUAGCUUGUUGGUGGGGUAACGGCUCACCAAGGCGACGAUUCCUAGCUGGUCUGCGAGGCUGACCAGCCACACUGGAACUGAGAAACGGUCCAGACUCCUACGGGAGGCAGCAGUGGGGAAUAUUGCACAAUGGGCGCAAGCCUGAUGCAGCAACGCCGCGUGUAUGAAGAAGGCCUUCGGGUGGUAAAGUACUGUCAGCGGGGAGGCGUUACCCGCAGAAGAAGCACCGGCUAACUCCGUGCCAGCAGCCGCGGUAAUUC